CCUACGGGUGGCUGCAGUGAGGAAUAUUGGUCAAUGGGCGAGAGCCUGAACCAGCCAAGUCGCGUUAAGGAUGACGGCCCUACGGGUUGUAAACCUCUUUUGUCAAGGAGCAAUUGAGUCCACGUGUGGUCUUAGCGAGGUUACCUGAAGAAAAAGCAUCGGCUAACUCCGUGCCAGCAGCCGCGGUAAUCCUGAGGAUGCGAGCGUUAUCCGGAUUUUUUGGGGUUAAGGGGUGCGUAGGCGGAAUAUCAAGUCAGGGGUAAAAAUUCGGGGCCAAACCCCGUCGUGCCGUUGAAACGGAUGUCCUUGAGUGGGCGAGAAGAAGGCGGAAGGCGGGGUGUAGCGGGGAAA
rnacentral:rRNA from 1 species